AAGGGGAAUAACAACCUGCCUUCAUGUGCUAGCCAUUCACUUCUUAAUGCAGCCCAGUUGGUUACUGUUGUUUCUCCUGCAGAGACAACUUGGCAUCCUCUGUCACCCCCAGAUGGCAUUUCAGUGAUUUUAAAAUCUGGAAAAGAAGAGCAGAAGAUUAAUAUCAGUGCCAGGAAGAGAGAGGUCUACAUGAGUGAAGUCUCCUUUUUAAGUGGAUUGGUGUGUCACAAGAGUGGGUCUGGAAGGGAAAAAAAAGAAAAAAACCACAGCCUUCCUCCAUGAAGUAAGAGGGAAGAAUAAAACUGUUUGGAUGUCACAAAACUGGCUCUCCUUUUUCUGCUCAUCUCUGCGGUGUGUGCUCUUGUGCUCUCCAGCCAUCUCACCUUCAACAUUAGAUCCAAAUGUUUUGAUUUCUGAGGCGGUGUUUUCCCAUGAGGGAUAUCUUCAAGAGAUCCGGUGCCUGGACCGAGUGGGAUGAGAUGAUAAAAUGAGCUUGAAACCAUGGCAAAGUUAAGCACGAGCUUCAGCGCUUUUCUGAACUGGACCCACACUGAGAUCCAACAGUCUAUGCUUUUCCAGACUUCCUGAUUCCUGCUUUGCAAGAGAACUGAAAGUCGAUGGAAAGAGUUUACAGAAAGUGCAGCUUUAAGUGUUUUCAGGAAUGUUUUGUAGCCACAUUUCUUCUGUAGUCCAAGCUAAUCUGAGUAAGGGCUGAGAAAUUCAAACAUGUGCUAUGCACUGUAUCUUGUGUUUCUGUAGUUGAGCAAAUGGUCAUCCUGCUGAUCUGCAGAUUACUUUGCAAUUCUGCAAAAACAAAGCCUGUGACAUUUACCUCUCCAGGAAAAUUUAUGCAUUGGCCUUUGAAUGCUAUUCAACAGCACAAAUACUUAUGUUUAAUUUAACUUACCAACUUAUUAAUCAGAAAUCACAUUAUUUGAGAAUAAUCAACUGCAUCUAUCCUCAUUUUGGACCAGGAUAGAUAGAUACUGCAGAGCAAUACUGCACCCGAUUAGUUAUUGUUUUGUUAAAAGCCUUGUCAGCAAACUCCUUGUUGGCGAGUAAGCCAUGCCUCUCUGGCGUUGACGUGUCAGAAGGGGACUGCACUCCUUGACUCCUUGAUAGUCAUUCCUGCAGGUUAUUACUGCACAAAGCAACUGCUGGCUUCUAGAAGUCUUUUGGGAAAUGUAGAAUGUGUGUUGCACGGGGGGGAGCCCCUGUCUGUGCUUCUCAUUUCCCAUCCCUUCUGCUAUCAGUAUGAGAUAAUGCUUGGAAAUCUGAGGCUUUGGGCCUGGAAACUGGAACUUAUCGGGUGAUGGCCCUACUGGACCAGGCAGGGCUGAGGAUUCUUUUGUAAACUUGGAAGGAACCAAGAAACACCCAAUGGGCUUGAAAUUAUGUAAUGGUGACUUCAUCAGUACUUGAAAUUAAUUCAGUGUUCCAUGUGAAAACCAAAAUGCUUCUGGUCAGAAAUCUUUUAACUUUCUAUUUACACGACAAUUUUGUUUCUAUUUUUAUACCACAUUUUUCUCCACUUUUGCUUCCCCCCAGAUUUUUGCUGAUUCGUAACAAUUGCUUCUUCAUACUAUAAAGAUUUCAUUAUUUGUACUGUGGCUACACUUUUCAUCUGCAUAUUACUAAUAUGUACAGUGGGAUCAGGUUUAAAAGUAUAACCUUUUAUAAGACCUUAAUUUUGGUCAUUUUUUGCACAUAUUUCUACUUCAUUUAUGUUUCAUUCUGACUUAGCAAAACAUUUGUGCAUUUGAGCCACGUUAAAAACAAGUCCGUAACUUUCUGUCAUAAAUGUUUUAAUUCCUCGCAUACUUUCAAAAACCCUUAAUGAAAAUCAACCAUAAAGAUAAACCCCGCUCAAUGUGGACAGGGUCUUGGGAUCAAGCAAGAAAGGGGAUAAGAGAUUGUAUGACUGUGAACAGAUGAAAUCAUGUGAUGGGCUUUAUUGCUGGUGAAAUCUGUUUCCACUUGCUGCCACCCACUAAUUUGACAAUAGAUUGCAUCAUGUGGUUGCAGCAACUGAGAAGGCUAGCAACCAUUUUAAACUGCUUUCCUUAAAGGGGAAAACACUGUCGAGAACAGUGGAACAGAAAGACUUUCAGUGUUAUGAACAUAUUUUAAAUCUUAGAUAGUUACAGUAAUUCCUACUGCAUUGUAUUAAAUUCAACGUAAGCCAACUAUGCAGCGAGAACCUAAGCAUUAGCCAAAAAUUGUUUAUCAAGGGAUUAUUCUUAGUGGACAAAAACAGCUAGGAGGUUUGUUAGAGUAAUUCAGCUCAUACUAGGAUUGCAAUUACUACCUAAGCGUUGUAUGGGAAAUGCACAACAUUUUCAAAGCAGAAAUAUAAAUAAUAAUGAACUCUUAGCUUAAAAAUGCAAUUCUCUCCAUGUUCUUUUCUCGUAAAGAUAAAUCUACAUUUCAAAGGAAUACUUUCUUACAUAUGGAAAUGCUUAUUUUCUAGCUACUGAAGAUCUGCCAGGAAAUAUUAGAGAAUAUCAUGUUAGGAGUUUUAGAAGGCAAAUUGCUUCUGCAUACUCUGUACCUAGCAGACAGCUUUAUGGUGCUCUUUACCUGUCUGUCAUAACAUCAGUUUUUCCAAAGCACCUGAAGCCCUUGCAAGUUAAGAAUUAUAGCAGCAUACCUUUGCAUGAUGUAUGUAUUUAGCAGUGCUAAGCUGAUUAGCAAGUAAAUACAAAAUACAAAUACAAAUUUAUGUGCUUUAAGCCCAAUUAUUAAAUGUUCCUUGACAGAGGAAAAAAACCAACUAUGACAUGAAAUAGUUGUGUCAGCAAAGAUGGAUUUUAAAGAGCACUUAUCAAAGCUCAUAUAACAUGGCUAUGCACCUUUAAAAAUGAGUUUCAGCCACACUUUAUUGUCUUAAUUUAUAUCACAGGAAAGCAGGGUGAGUCACCUUAGCUUUGGAAGAUUUGGCUUUUUAGAUAUAAACACUGACUUUAAAGCAUCUCAGCAGAAUUUUCAAAUUGUCAUAGUGAGCAGAAACAUACAUGUUGUUAGCCAGAUGGGAAAUUUUGUAUGCGUUUCUUAAAACAGUUAAUUUUCUUUUUCAGGGCAGGGAAGCCAAAAGCUAACGCUGAGGUGUGGGGCAGAAUUUCAUGUUUGUUUGUUUGCUUGCUUUUAUGUCAAAUUCUUUGCAUCCCAAAAGCCUUUCUCUUCUAU